CAAAUUUUUGGUGGCAACAUUGACAGUCAUGUGCUUUACAAAGAGAAUACAAUCUUUAUUUUCGGAGAUUUAUGGCAAUUUUCCAUUCAUUUAAAAUAAUAACAGUUACACUAACUGUAGCAAUGAAUCUCUAAGUCUAUUAUAUGCCUGAAGCUAAGUUAAAGUUCAACGAGACCCAGAAAUACUUACCGAGACCAUAACUCCUGGCGGAAUGUGAAAUUAUGACCGGACCUAGCUGUAGAGGAUCGCCGGCUAGGAUUAAACUUCCUUUAGAUGAUAGCAAACCGCAUAUCGGUAUCAAACAUUGGGGCUCAUUACCCUGGGCCGCUUCAUCUAUAAAUAGGCCCCGCAGUCUACACCCAGGGACACCUGCGAAUGGGAUACUGGUUCCCUCCGGCUUAGCGACUUAGCUGGGCCCUGGAGGAGAGUAGGAGGGAAUAGUUGGGAAGGAAGUGUGGGAGAAGAAUUAGGAACAAUCUUAGGAUGGGCGGAAGGGAGAGGGCCAGAGAAUGUUCGCGAUCCCUUAUAGGCCUCAGUGUCAACCAAUAGUUAUACACAUUUCACUAUGUGCAUAGCCCGAAGCUAAUCGCGCCAAAAUGUGUAGAUAGUAGAUACCUACAUAAUAAAUAAUAGCAAUUUAAAAUGUAUCUCUUUUCUUCACUAUAUAAAAAGACUACGUAUCGCGAAGAAAAGAGAUAGAUUUUAUAGCUAUUGUAACUUAAAUUUUUUAGGUAUAGAGUAGAGCACAGAAUAUAUAUUUUGAACUGCUCGUGGCUUCGCCCUUGUGUAAAAGGACAAGACCGCCAUUUGUUCUUCCUGUUAUUUAAUUGACUCUGUUUUAUAUUUACUUUUCUGUAUGAUGUACAAAAAAGAGUUUAAAUAAAUAAAUAAAAGUUUUUCCGGGAUAAAAGUACCUAGCCUAUGUCCAUCAUGGUUAAACCUUACUCCAUACAAAAUUUCAUAAAAAUCGGUUCUCGACUCAGCCUUACGAGAGUAACAAACAGACCGUCGUGUUGAAAUUGUUAUUUAUAUUUUUUCUAUAUUGGUAUAGAGCAAAAUUAUAGGAUCCUACGCAUUAAGCAGCAUAUCAGGGAAAUAGCACAACAUAGCGAUACAUAUUGUAAAUACGUGAAAUUUAUAAUUACCAA